AGCAGCUCAAUUGAUUUUGAAAGGUUCAUGAAAUAAUGUAUCAAAUUUUACAGUGAAGAUGGAGUAUUGGGGUUAGGGAAGCGAAAUAUGUAUUCUAGUAUCGAACGAUUCUGAAAACGGAGCUUCUUGCACAUAGCACCUUGAAGUGGAAAAUGCAGUCUGUGACACCAUUCUCUUUUGUUGAUUGAACUUAUUCAGUAAAUUUUGUUGAUUAAGAGCAUUGGGUUGACUAUUUUAUUUUUUCUCACUCAGCUCAGCUUAUAUAGGCUUGGAUCGGCUUGGCUUGGCUUACUUCGGCUCAGCUCGGCUCUGCUCGGCUUGGACAAAUAUCGGCUCGGCUCAGAUAGACUUGCUAGGCUUUUAUCGGCUAAUUUCGGCUAAAAGCAGUGAAAAUUUAAUUCAACCAAGCCGACAUGAGCCAAGCUAAGCCCAUAAAAGUUGAGUCGCGUCGAUAUAAACUGAGUUAAGCCAACAGAAGCUAAGCCGAGCCGUUUUAAGCCGAGCUGAGCCAAGUGUAGCUGAGCCGAGUCGAGUUGAGUCGCGCCGAUAUAAACUGAGUUAAGCCGACACAAGCUAAGCCGAGCCGUUUUAAGCCGAGCUGAGCCAAGUGUAGCUGAGCCGAGUCGAGUGUAGCUGAGCCGAGCCGAGUGUAGCUGAGCCGAGCUGUACUGUAUGAGCCAAAGGAAUAAAAAUAGAUCCACACAUUUUGCAAACCAUCUUUCUCUCUCUUACCACGAACCAUUUGUUUCUCAACAAUCACCGCUCAUGGGGGACUGAAGACCGUUUUUGCUGAAAGGCUGCUAUAUAGGGCAUUAAAACUUACUUAGCAAGCCGCUCUAGUGAGAGAAAAGAGGAGCUCUUAUCUGGUUAUGGAUGUGAAACCUGGCAAGGCCAUCCUUGGAAGUCCUCAAUGAAGCAUACGAUAAAUGUCGCAAGGAGGGGUGUAAGAGUGAAGUAGUGGAGGGAGAGAAGCCUUGUCCAAUGAUGCGUCUGUCAACUGAACAUUCCAACUGCUAGUGAUGUGGACCUCACCUUGUUGUGCAGCAGCUCAAGUGAUUUUGAAACUUUUGGUUCAUGAAAUAAUGCAUCAAAUUUUAUGGUGAAGAUGGAGGAUUGGGGUCGUCAAUAUGUGUUAAAAGGCUUAUCAUCUUAAACAAGGGAGUCUAAAGUGAAAAUAGUCAAGCCUUUUGGAAGAAGAUGAAACAUAAAGCUAGAAGAUGCAUGAAGCUUUUCUCAUAAUCACAUUGAUAAAGUUGGUGAAAUUUUUGUUGGGAUUGGAAUCUAAAAGCUCCACAAGUGCCUGAAUUCUCAUUCAAGAGAAUUGAGGUUUGAUAUUCAAACCCGCAAUCCUUUCAGGAGAGGUGCAACUAUGUAGUAGAAGACCCUAAACAGCCUCCCUAUUCUUCAAGCUACCAUUAAUCCAUUCCAGAUAUCUACAACAGAUACAAGAACCAGAUUGUAAAGGAUCAAAGGUAUUUGUAUACUGAAGAAUAGGGGAUUACUCAUGUAAGAUUUCCAUUGGCAAAGAUGAUGACAGCAUGUUGCAAAGGCAACACCUCUCAGGCUGCAAUUGUCUCAUGUCUAUUAUGUUGCUGAGUGUGGCAGCACCGUAAGGUAAAGUCUGCAAGCACAAUUUUAAUAUGAAAUAAAGAAUGCCGUGAAUUACCGAAGCCAAUAAUACUGACAAAGUUAUCUUCACAUGCAUUUCCUAGUUAAUUAUUGGGUGACAAACUGAAUUUGCCAACCUAUGGUAGGACCACAUAAAUGUUUCUCAAUUGCAAGGUAAGAAAUACCCCCUAAAGUCUACACAUUAUUCAAGUCCAAAUCAUCAACUGCAAUAGUUAAGUUAGACAUUAGAUGCGCAAGGGGGAUGUAAAUUGACAGUAUUCAAUAAAUACAUCUAUACAUGUAAUGUUAAAUAUUGUCUGCUUAUCAUGUUAAAUGUGUUAGAAAACCAAAUGAGCUCCCAUUAAAGAUAGCCUUCAUUAGUUUAAUAGUGAUUAUGUAUGGAACUCAAG